CUCGGGCUUUCUUAUCGAACAACUAACCAGAUUAUACUUCUUUUUCUUGGUAUACUUCGGAUAACACUCCAUAUGCUUAACUAAUAGACCAAAACCAAAAUUCCCACUUGUUUGUUGUUUGAACAAUAAAAAUAGAAAGAGAAAGUAAAGCACAAUACUCUUACAAUGAUAUUUCUACAUCUAAUUGUUCUCUUGUCAUGAAAAAAUUUCAAUCUCAAUGAAUUGAAUAUUCUUUCCCGCUAAGCCAGUAAAACCAUCUGCAGAAAUAGUUCUUAAAUUAAUUAAUCAUGAACACAUUUUAAAG
rnacentral:lncRNA from 1 species